rnacentral:lncRNA from 1 species
CUCCAAGGAUUGUACAUAGAGACUCAUUUUUCUUUCUUCCUUCUUACAAAUUUUAUUAUUUCUUGCAUGCCGGUGAUCGGUAUCAUUGUCGCCGCACCCGAACACCAUAGUGUCACCUCUCUUUACUCUCCUUCUCCAACCUUCGAAAGCAUGCCAUCAAAGCAAAAGAAUUCAAACGAAUUCCAAAACCUUCAAGGGCAAGAUUAUCAUUACACUACGAGG